rnacentral:rRNA from 1 species
AUGAACGCUGGCGGCGUGCCUAAUACAUGCAAGUCGAGCGAACGGACGAGAAGCUUGCUUCUCUGAUGUUAGCGGCGGACGGGUGAGUAACACGUGGAUAACCUACCUAUAAGACUGGGAUAACUUCGGGAAACCGGAGCUAAUACCGGAUGAUAUUUUGAACCGCAUGGUUCAAAAGUGAAAGACGGUCUUGCUGUCACAUAUAGAUGGAUCCGCGCUGCAUUAGCUAGUUGGUAAGGUAACGGCUUACCAAGGAAACGAUGCAUAGCCGACCUGAGAGGGUGAUCGGCCACACUGGAACUGAGACACGGUCCAGACUCCUACGGGAGGCAGCAGUAGGGAAUCUUCCGCAAUGGGCGAAAGCCUGACGGAGCAACGCCGCGUGAGUGAUGAAGGUCUUCGGAUCGUAAAACUCUGUUAUUAGGGAAGAACAUAUGUGUAAGUAACUGUGCACAUCUUGACGGUACCUAAUCAGAAAGCCACGGCUAACUACGUG